rnacentral:rRNA from 1 species
UACGGAGGGUGCAAGCGUUAUCCGGAUUCACUGGGUUUAAAGGGUGCGUAGGUGGGCAGGUAAGUCAGUGGUGAAAUCUCCGGGCUUAACUCGGAAACUGCCAUUGAUACUAUCUGUCUUGAAUACCGUGGAGGUUAGCGGAAUAUGUCAUGUAGCGGUGAAAUGCUUAGAUAUGACAUAGAACACCAAUUGCGAAGGCAGCUGGCUACACGAAUAUUGACACUGAUGCACGAAAGCGUGGGGAGCGAACAGG